GACGAACGCUGGCGGCGUACUUAACACAUGCAAGUCGAACGGAAAGGCCCUGCCUGCAGGGUACUCGAGUGGCGAACGGGUGAGUAACACGUGGGUGAUCUGCCCUGCACUUCGGGAUAAGCCUGGGAAACUGGGUCUAAUACCGGAUAGGAGCCAUUUUUAGUGUGAUGGUUGGAAAGUUUUUUCGGUGUAGGAUGAGCUCGCGGCCUAUCAGCUUGUUGGUGGGGUAAUGGCCUACCAAGGCGGCGACGGGUAGCCGGCCUGAGAGGGUGGACGGCCACAUUGGGACUGAGAUACGGCCCAGACUCCUACGGGAGGCAGCAGUGGGGAAUAUUGCACAAUGGGCGCAAGCCUGAUGCAGCGACGCCGCGUGGGGGAUGACGGCCUUCGGGUUGUAAACUCCUUUCGCUAGGGACGAAGCUUUUUGUGACGGUACCUAGAUAAGAAGCACCGGCUAACUACGUG
rnacentral:rRNA from 1 species